rnacentral:lncRNA from 1 species
UAUCUGAUUCCUAAAAGAGGUUGUCCGUUUGAAAAGUUUUUCCUCCUACAGAAAAGCUCUCUCUUCCAUAGAAGCCAAAUCAGGAAGAGAAUGAAUGUGCUGAAGUAUGGAAUUGAGGUGAGUCUUCCUCCCAGUUUGGUGCCGGCUGCCCUGUUCCUAUUCCCAGGUUGGCUCGGGCUCUACAUUCUUGCAAUACAUGAGGACAUAAGACCUGAGAAGCUAAAGUUUUUCAUAUUUUGAGGACGUUAUAUCUGACCAAUUGAUUUGAAAACUCACAGCCUGCUGAUUGGAGACUGCUUUACUAGUAUCAAACC